GCUUUCCUUACUGUGUGUAAUAGAGGUUGAUAUUUUCUUUUUGUUUUAAGUGCUAGUUGUGAUUUCGCUAAGGUGAUUUCAUAACCUCUCCUGAGUCAAGUCCUACAGUUUGAAAUACACAUUAGAAAAAGUUAAUCUCAAACUUGGAUCUUCUUUCUUUAUUCGGUCUGCUUGUUCUAGAAUGCAGCCGUUACAGCAAGCAGUACUGGAAGGGACAGCAGUGUGAAGCAUGUGGGAGAAGGAGAUGAAGUAUAGAUGCUCCUUUCUCUCAAGAAAAAAUCUUACCCCAAAAACUUAACAUCUUUGCAUUGAUCAACAAUAAAGAAAAAAAGUAAAAGCCAGACAUUAGCAAAGAGUAAGAAUUUUGAGUCAUUUGGAUGGUAUUUAUUUUGGUAUUAGUCAGUUGACCUUGGCUGGCAAAGGGAUGUCAUCAAUCUCCGGAGGAUAACCUGGGGGUAAACUGAAGAAUGACAGACACAUCUUAUUAACCAAGAGUCGCUCGAGUGGCGUGCAUAAAUUACUCAUUUAGAAAAUUCUAAUGUACACAGCUCUUAUCUAAUCUCCCAACGUGGUCCAGGAACUCAAGAAUACUAGAGAAUUGAGGCCCGUAGUAAAAGUAUUACUAUCUCCUGAGAAAUUUCAGACCAUAAUUAUAAGUGUUUAACAUUUACUAAGCAUGUAGGAUGUACCUUUUAAAACAUGGCAUUUGAUCUUUACAAUGAUCCUAUGAGGUAGCACUAUAAUUAUUUUACCAAUGAGGAAAUUGAGGCUUAGAGAGAUUAUGUGACCAGCUCCAAAUUGCAUAACUAUGAAUAGGCAGACUCAGGAAGUAUGACUCUAAGUCUAGCACUCAAGCAUAUCUCCCAUUGAGGAAAGAAGUUAGAUGGAGGCGUGUGGAUCAAAAUGCCGCCACCCUGCAUUCUUCUGUGGAGUCUGGAACUUUUGAGGUUUCCCUGGCCAGCAGCAACAAUGGUCAUUUAUGCCAGGCUGCAGGGAGCACUGUGGCCUCCUGCAGAGAGCCCAAGGCUGAGAGUCGGGAAAGCCCAGUUCCAGCCUGGCUCUGCCACUUACAUUUGUGUAACUUUAACUGACACCCAACCCUCCUGUGCUUUGUUUUCUCGCAUGUGAAACACUUGCUCUUCAAGUCUCAUAGGGGAGCUGUGACAUGAAAGUAUUCCAAAAGAUUGGCAGAGUUCUACAAAUAGGAUGGACAGUUCAUCUCCCAGAAUAACAGCUAUGUAGCAUUUCUUAGCUGUCAGUCUAGGUUGGAGCAGGAAGAAAAGGGAUCCAGGAGAAAUAGUGUCAAGAAAAUAACAAUGAAAAAAACGUUUACCUGAUAGGCUCGAUCAUAGUGAGAGGAUAGAAACAUUUCUGUCAGAGUUCAAGAAUAACCAAGUAAAUUUUUUUAACUUUACAUAUUAAUUUUAGGGAGAUCAAAAAGCUAAAUAAAAAGGAAAUAUAAUUACAGUAUAUCACAUGGCUCAGAUGUGAAUCUUCAUAUAGUCUUAAUAAUGUAAAUAGAGAAUGUUGAACUAGCCCCAAAUUGUAACAGUACUGAGAAGGUGGUUGGGGAAGGGGGGACAGAGUGUAAGAAGAUGAAAUCCUUAUCUUUAGUAGUAAUAACCAGAAAAUAUCUAAAAGUCUAGAAGAGUGUAAGCAUGUUAUUUAGAAAUAACCAGAGAAAAAUAGUAACUAAGAGUAAAUAAUAGGAGACAAGUUUCAAAAAGUUGAAAAUAAUUGCCUCUAGGGAGCAGAAAUCAGGAAUGGGGAAAAGGAAGGGAGGAGAUGGCUUUUUUUCUUUUUAAAGAAGAUUUGUAGAACUUUUUCACUUUUAAACCAGUAUAUCCCCUAUCUAGCCAGUCGGCAGUAAAAGAAUGUUGUAGACUUUGAAACAGACAGACCUCAGCUACAUCUCUUACUGCUUGUGGGACCUUGGGCAAGUGGCUUCUCCUCUUUGAGUUCCAGUUUGCUAAUCUGUAAAGUGGGACUGUCACUACCUAUGUCAGAAGAGAAGCAUGGGAAAUGGUUGAGAGGCUCUGCAGGUGGACUGUCUAAGCUCAGAUUCCAGAUCUUACUGACUGAAAGCCUGUGAGAAAUUGUGGAAAUUAGUUCAUUUCUCUGUGCCUCAGUCUUUUCUUCUGAAAAAUGGUGAUUAUAAUAACAGAACCUACCUGGGAGAGUUGCUAAAUGGAUUAAAAGAGACAAUCCAGAAGCUCCUGACACACAGUGGGUUUCAGUAAAUAACUUUCAGGCAUUAUGAGGGUUACACAAAAUAGCACAUCAUGCAGGAUGCAUGGCGCUUGACCCAUAACAGGCAUCCCUUUCUCCCAAAAACACAUCAGAAGAAUCAGAGAAGAAGUCUCCCCAGCCAGACUAAUAGGAUAGAUGGCUACCUCCCAUGCAACAAUAUGGAGAUAAGUGGUCCUUGCCCUGCCACGAAGCCCCUCUCCAAACAUACUUCUCAGAAGAGUUGUUUUAUUUCUAGAAAGUGUAUAAGACUCAUUUAAUUCUUAUAGAACUUCACUGGCUUGUUCUUCAGUCUCCUUAAAGUUUACAGGUUAGGCUGAGAUGAGAAAGCCUAUCAAGGCCAUCUCUGCCAGGCCGGGACUCAGAGUACCUAGCGGAGCAGGUGCACCACACCAGUGUGCGACAGAUGCUCUGCAGCUGAAACAGGUAUCCUCUGAGUUCAUGUCAGGCUACAUCGUAAAACUGGCCGCAGGAAUGCAUGUAAAGCCACGCUCACACCCAAAUGCACCUGUACCUCGUUACUCCCACCUCUCCUGGGAGUGAGAGAAGACUAUCUAACCCAGAUCCCAAGUCAUUUCCUGCCAGGGCUUCACAGCAAUUCAAAGAACUUCUAAGUGCAGGUUCUUUCCAAAUAGAUUGGUUUCUUGAAACUCACAAGAAGUCAAACACCAGAAAAAGAGGGGAUUUUUGAAAGCCACCCACUAGGAUGGCAACUGGUACUUGGUAGUUUCAAAUAUUAAGAAAAAAAAAAAAUCAGCGUUGAUGAGGCAGUGUCUAAUCUCCCUGUGCACAGGAAGUGAAGGCGAUGGAGUCUGAUUUGCAGGAGGCCCUGAGGUUGCACAAAGCAGCCACUCCUCCAGCGAGGCCCACUUACUGCCUGCCGAGACGCCUGCUGAGACGCCUGCUUUGCCUGCCUCCAGCUGAGCACACCGGAGGGAAAGCACCAUUAAAUUCCCUGUGAGCUCUGAGCCAAUGAGCUGCACCAAGGUCACCAGAGCCUGCUUCCUGGGGAGCUCAGCCCGAGAUGCUCAGAAUCAAUCAUCCAGUGGCUUUCGGGAAAGGUCGAAGGAUCUUUGGGAAAUUGGACACAGAACAAAUAAGCUAGACCUCUGAAAGCCACAACCACCACCAGAUGAACCAAUCCUACCUGUGUUUGCAUGAGCCCAGCUCAUCAUAUCCCUUUUAACAAAAUAACUUGGAAAGGAAGAGAAUGUGGUGUGCAUGGCCCAUGAUCGUGUCCAUGGCUCUGGAGCAUCCCUCACGUGAAAGCAGCUUCAUUUCUUGGCCAAGCAGACCUGAGCUUGGGCUCCCUGUCUGUGCUGUGACCUCACCCUGCUGAGCCAAAUGUACAGUGACUCAUGAGUCAUCGGGCUCAAUCAAAAUUUCCUCUUCGCUACGUACCCCGCCCCCACCUCAGGACAGUGGUUAUCUCCGCCUCCCCCUUGUGGAGCAUGGCUGCUGAGUGGGAGAAAGGAGGGAAGGAGAAAACGAGUCAAUCAAGAAACGACAACCCCAAGGGGGCAGCAAUAUCCCUGCCUGAAGUCUAGAGAGGAACAGGCAAAAAUUAUUAAAAUCAUACUUACCUGUCAACCUUUUGAUUCAGAAAUUAGAAGGUAGCCCCCUCCCUCUUGUGGGAGCAGGGUGAGGGCAGCUAUCAGUUAUCAUCAAUAAUAGUCGAGAGUAAUGCUCAUAUAGAGUAGACUGUGCCAAGCUCUGUUCUGAACACUUUACAUAUAUUUGCUAGUUUCAUCCUAUUCUCUAGUUUCAUAACAACGCUAUGAGGUAGGUACCAUUAUGAUCACCCCAUUUUGCAGAUGAGGAGACUGAGGCACAGAAAGCUUAAGAAAGAGUACAAAACUUACUAAGGUCACACAGGUUAUAAGUGGAUUUGGUCACUGUACCAUAUGUUGGUCUGUGUAAUUCAGGGUUGAAGGCAGUGCCUGGGGCUUAGUAGGGUACACUGCCCCCGUGGCCCUUCUCACAGCUGACCACAAGCCCCGCAGGAGCAAGCAGAGAUGAGUGGCCCACCAGAAACCUGGGUUAAAGAGAACACGGAGAACUGCAGGGGCUUCUCUCAAAGCCCCCCUUCUGCCUGCCUAGUGUCCAGAGACCACAUGUGUCUCCCUCUGGCUUGAUUCACGGUGUCUGCUUUCUCUUUGAUGCAUUCAUUCUUUCCAGAUUUUUUCUUUUCUUUCCAUUUGCUCACAAGUGAAGGCCUGCUGGGGCGGAAACAUCACGCAUGAGUUAAAGGAGAUUGGGCGCCGAGGUGCCGAGGAAGCCUUGAGUGUGGUGGCUGUCUUGUGGUUCCUGAGCUUCCUCCAUGCAAGAUCUGAUCUCACAUGACGCCCAGGGCUGAUGGAGACAUUCAUCACUUCCUCCCUCAGCAAAAGGUGCUAAUAAAAGAAACUUUUCCUCUCA